GACGAACGCUGGCGGCGUUCUUAACACAUGCUAGUCGAACGGAAAGGCCCUGCUUUUGUGGGGUGCUCGAGUGGCGAACGGGUGAGUAACACGUGAGUAACCUGCCCUUUACUUUGGGAUAACUUCAGGAAACUGUGGCUAAUACCGGAUAGGAGCUCCUGCUGCAUGGUGGUGGUUGGAAAGUUUCGGCGGUUGGGGAUGGACUCGCGGCUUAUCAGCUUGUUGUUGGGGUAGUGGCUUACCAAGGCUUUGACGGUUAGCCGGCCUGAGAGGGUGACCGGCCACAUUGGGACUGAGAUACGGCACAGCCUCCUACGGGAGGCAGCAGUGGGGAAUAUUGCCCAAUGGGCGGAAGCCUGAUGCAGCAACGCCGCGUGCGGGAUGACGGCCUUCGGGUUGUAACCCGCUUUCGCCUGUGACGAAGCGUGAGUGACGGUAAUGGGUAAAGAAGCACCGGCUAAAUACGUG
rnacentral:rRNA from 1 species